AACUCGAUCUCAAAUCAAGUAAGACUACCCGCUGAACUUAAGCAUAUCAAUAAGCGGAGGAAAAGAAACUAACAAGGAUUCCCCUAGUAACGGCGAGUGAAGCGGGAUGAGCUCAAAUUUAAAAUCUGGCUGGUUUACUAGUCCGAAUUGUAGUUUAUAGAAGCGUUUUCGGUGGCAGCCUGGGUAUAAAUCCUUUGGAAUAGGGUAUCAUAGAGGGUGAGAAUCCCGUCUUUGACUCAGUGCAUGCUACUAUGUGAUACGUUUUCAAAGAGUCGAGUUGUUUGGGAAUGCAGCUCAAAAUGGGUGGUAAAUUUCAUCUAAAGCUAAAUAUUGGCGAGAGACCGAUAGCGAACAAGUACCGUGAGGGAAAGAUGAAAAGAACUUUGAAAAGAGAGUUAAACAGUGCGUGAAAUUGUUGAAAGGGAAACGUUUGACACCAGUUAUGCGGGUGGAAAAUCAGUCUUUUGCAAUGGGGAGUUGUGGGCGUUCAGACCGCAAGGCUGGCGUUUGCUUCAUCUUUGUUGUAAGUGAUGCACUUUUUCAUUUGCAGGUCAACAUCAGUUUGCUUUGCUGGACAAAACCCCAAGGGAAGGUGGCAGCUUAGGCUGUGUUAUAGCCCUGGGGCGAUACAGUGGAGUGGACUGAGGUUUCGCAGUGUGUGCUCUCGGGCAAGGCUGACUGGGUGCUAUGGGAUCGUUCGGCGUACAAUGCAUGCAUUUUGCGUCGUGUCUUUUUCAUACUCGCUCAACUCGGCUCUUCCACACUUAGGAUGUUGACUUAAU
rnacentral:rRNA from 1 species